UGCCCAGAAACUCCUAUCCCUACCUCCUCGCGGUACUGGCCGGGGUACGAGUAACCUUAGGGAAAAUCGGGUAACCAACCCCCGGUAGGAACAUUGGUCGUAUGCUGACAGGGAAGG
rnacentral:ribozyme from 1 species